UUUAACCCUUUGAAAAAUUUUCUCUUCCACAUCUGAGAAACCCUAUCUAUCUUGCUCUCCCUUAGGCACAAAAGAACCCAGCUCAACACAAAUUUCUUGGCAGAUCUCCCCCAUUAAACUCUCCUCCAAUCAAAACUGAAAACUCAAUCUCCCCCAUCUCUCUUCGACAAACAUAGAACCCAUCUCAAUCACUUUUUCAAACCAUACAGCCAAACCAUCUCAAUCCCUCUCACGAGUUCUUGUUGGUGUUGAGAAGAUUUCAACGCUUUCAAUCCGUAUUGUUUCACUAUUGUUGGGUACGAUUCGUCUUUGAAAUCGGUGAAGGAGCUUAACCAACCCCCUGGAUUCGAAUUGCGGGGUGUUCGUGAAUCGAAGAAGGAGAUGAUAGAUCUUCUAGAUUACUGAUGAUAUUUAACUUGGAUUGGAAGGACAGGUUGUCCCUUUCUACAUGAAAUAUAUGUGGAAGGAUGGGUUCCUACUAUAAGGAGCAUAGAAUUCUUCCCCACUUCCAG
rnacentral:lncRNA from 1 species